CUGAUGCUCAUCUUCACUUGUAGACACCAGCAUUUUUACUGAACUGCAGUGGGAGGAGCUUCACUGAAGGUUCUUGUGGAAGGAGCUUCACUGAAGAACACCGCCUCAGUGCCCUCCUUACAGAAUACUUCGCUUACUGAGAAUCUAGCGGGGACUGCCAAUCUUCUAGCAGCAAUCGUUUAUCAGCAAGACUUGUUGAAAAAGUUAUCAAGAGCAGCUCAACAAGCUGCAAGCGGUAAACAAACACCUCAUACACUCCAUUCGAACUGGUAAGCUUUGCUUUACCUAGUAAGUUUGAUGGUUCUGCUAACCAGUGUAAGAGCUUUCUACUCCAGCAGCUGACUACGUUAUUGAGUUUAGGACUCUCGCUGCUCAGAGCAGCUGGAAUGACGUGGCCCUAAAAGCUACAUUCGAAAUAGUCCGAAUCUUACUUACAGUCUGAGUUAGGGGAGGAUAUGUCUUUUCAGAUUUUGUCACAACGACCAUAAAGAUCAACAAUCUGACUUCAGACGAUGUCAAACUUCAGUCGAUGAACCCAUGCAAGUGAACACUUUUCGACUAUCAGAAAAGAAAAGAGAGAUGUCAGCUUCAUAACCUGUUUUUACUGCGCUGAAGCAGGCCAUCACAGCUCAGGCUGUCCUCAUAAGUCUCAACAUGCUCCCAGGCAAUGAUCGACUCAUCCCCAACUCAUACAACAUUCCCAUGCAGCCUUCAAAUCCACCCAUAAACAUCAAAGCCAUCAACGACACCCUUCAUCUCCCAAUGAACCCAUCUUCCACGAAGAGUCAAUUACAUUAUACAUUGUCGAUUCACCCAAGCACAAGGUUAUUCUCGGGUUCCCCGGCUCUCGAGCCAUGUUCCCAAAAUCUCAUGGUACCAUUGUGAAAUAACUGGCUGGUCCACAUUCUGCCAUGCUCACUGAUUUUCUUCCAAACCAGCACCCUAUUUGACUACCAGUAGAGCCCUAUUACUCAGAAACCGAUAAUAUCCCUUCAUGUUACCAGGAGCUUCUUGAAGUGUUCAGUAAAGUUAAGGCAACUCAGUUACCCCCACCGACCAUGGGAUUGUGCUAUUGAUCUCUUACCAAAUGCCAUGCCUUCACAAAGCAACACUUACCCCCUCUCUCAAACUGAAAAUUAGGCAAUGGAAGAAUAUAUUGAAGAGGUGCUGCAAUCAGGUUUGAUUCCCCCUCAACCCGCCACAGCCAGAAUGCAUAUAGUUAUGUAUGUGUGUGAUCCUUAGAACAUCUGUAUUGAUUUCAUGGAGUACGUGUUUGGUUCUGAAGGAUGGUGGUCAGCAGAAGCUGCGCUGGUACUUCAAGCUCUUCGACGUGGACCGCGAGGAGCUGCUGCUCAUCUUCAAGGUCUCUGAUGGUCCUGUGAUGUUGUGUUUGUCUUCAGCUCCACCUGCUGGAGUCACAGCCUGCGUGUGAACUGAAAUCAUCUGUGUAAGAGGAUCUCCACGUCACAGGAACACUUUCACAUGAUAAACUUUCAUCUGCUGUUGCUUUUCUGCUGCAGGCCAUUCGUGCCAUCAGUAGAAUAGAGCAGGAGAUCUCAAGAUCGACCUCAGU